rnacentral:misc_RNA from 1 species
GAUGAAGAACGUAGCGAAAUGCGAUAAGUAAUGUGAAUUGCAGAAUUCAGUGAAUCAUCGAAUCUUUGAACGCAUCUUGCGCUCCUUGGUAUUCCUUGGAGCAUGCCUGUUUGAGUAUCAUGAGCAAAUCUCAAAGUCAAUUCCUUUUGUUGAUUCAAUUGGUUUUGCUUUGGACUUGGAGGCCUUGCAGAUUUCACAGUCUGCUCCUCUUAAAUGCAUUAGCUGGAUCUCAGUAAUUAUGCUUGGUUCCACUCGGCGUGAUAAGUAUCACUCGCUGAGGACACUGUUAAAAAGGUGGCCAGGAAAAUACUGAUUGAACCGCUUCUAACGGUCUAUUAAGUUAGACAAUUACCCUUAAGUUUGAUCUCAAAUCAGGUAGGACUACCCGCUGAACUUAAGCAUAUCAUAAGCGGAGGA